UCAUUACCGAGUUUACACUCCCAAACCCAAUGUGAACAUACCUAUAUGUUGCCUCGGCGGACCGCCCCGGGUAAGGCUCUCGGGCCCCCCCGGAUCCAGGCGCCCGCCGCAGGACCCAAACCUCUGUUUUUGUUAAGAUUUCUCCUCUGAGUGGAUUUUACAAAUAAAUCAAAACUUUCAACAACGGAUCUCUUGGCUCUGGCAUCGAUGAAGAACGCAGCGAAAUGCGAUAAGUAAUGUGAAUUGCAGAAUUCAGUGAAUCAUCGAAUCUUUGAACGCACAUUGCGCCCGCCAGCAUUCUGGCGGGCAUGCCUGUCCGAGCGUCAUUUCAACCCUCAGGCUCCCGCGCCUGGUGCUGGGGAUCGGCCUUCACCGGCCGGCCCCGAAAUACAGUGGCGGCCCCGCCCGUGUACCUCUGCGUAGUAGCACACACCUCGCAGCUGGAAGCGGCGGCGGCCACGCCGGAAAACCCCCGACUUCUGAAAGUUGACCUCGGAUCAGGUAGGAAUACCCGCUGAACUUAAGCAUAUCAAUAAGCGGAGG
rnacentral:rRNA from 1 species